AUGCGGCGUCGGCAGCCAUGGCGGGAAGCGAGCUGCGCAGCGGAGGCGUCACCCGUCAGCCUCACCACAGCGACUGGGGCCGCCUGGAGGCUGCCUUCCUCAGCGGCUGGAGGAACUUCUGGCAGUCGGUGGGCAAGGAGAGGGCGGCUCCGAGGUCCUCCCCGGAGGAGGCGGACGAGGAGGCCAGCUCGCUAACGCGGCUGCCGAUUGAUGUACAGCUAUAUAUUUUGUCAUUUCUUUCACCUCAUGAUCUAUGUCAUUUGGGAAGUACAAGUCAUUAUUGGAAUGAAACCGUACGAGAUGCAAUUCUGUGGAGAUAUUUUCUGUUGCGGGAUCUUCCUUCUUGGUCUUCUGUUGACUGGAAGUCUCUUCCAGAUCUAGAAAUCUUAAAAAAGCCUAUAUCUGAGGUCACUGAUGGUGCAUUUUUUGACUACAUGGCAGUCUAUAAAAUGUGCUGUCCAUAUACAAGAAGAGCCUCAAAAUCUAGCCGUCCUAUGUAUGGAGCUGUCACCUCAUUUUUACACUCAUUGAUCAUUCAGAAUGAACCACGAUUUGCCAUGUUUGGACCAGGUUUGGAAGAACUAAAUACAUCUUUGGUGUUGAGCUUGAUGUCUUCCGAGGAGCUUUGCCCAACAGCUGGUUUGCCUCAGAGGCAGAUUGAUGGUAUUGGAUCAGGAGUCAGUUUUCAGUUGAGCAACCAACAUAAAUUCAACAUCCUAAUAUUAUAUUCAACUACAAGAAAGGAAAGAGAUAGAGCAAGAGAAGAACAUACAAGUGCAGUUAACAAGAUGUUCAGUAUACAGAAUGAAGGGGAUGAUCAACAGGGAAGCCGGUACAGUGUAAUUCCACAAAUUCAGAAGGUGUGUGAAGUUGUUGAUGGGUUCAUCUAUGUUGCAAAUGCUGAAGCUCAUAAAAGACAUGAAUGGCAAGAUGAAUUUUCUCGUAUUAUGGCAAUGACAGAUCCAGCUUUCGGAUCUGCAAGAAGACCAAUGCUGGUUUUAUCUUGUAUUUCUCAAGCUAAUGUAAAAAGAAUGCCCUGUUUUUAUUUGGCCCAUGAGCUGCGUCUGAAUCAUCUAAGCCACCCAUGGAUGGUCCAGGAUACAGAGGCUGAAACUUUAACUGGUUUUUUGAAUGGCAUUCAGUGGAUUCUUGAAGAAGUAGAAUCUAAGCAUGCAAGAUGAUCCUUUUAGACCUUGGGAACUGAAAGAAAGCAUUUGGAACUUGUUACUAAGGUCGUGAUGUGGAUAUUUGCUCAAGUCAGCUCAUUCUGCCCUGCCUUUUUGCAGCUGGAACAUUGGUCUUCUCCUGCCUUCACACUUGGACUUGGACAGGAACUACACCAUUGGCUUUACUGCGUCUUCACCAGAUUUCUGGGUUCAACUGAAGAUCUUGGAACUUCUCAGUCUCCAUAAUCACGGUCCUCUCCUCCAGGGUGGAAGAUGAAUCCUACAUAAAAGGCAAUAAAAAUUUUAUAUAAGAAAAUAAAAGAAAAUUUGGAAUACAAGAUUAGAUAAGAAAGUAAGUACUUGUAUAUAAGGUGCCAAAGAAAAUUGAAGCUACACAGUAAGUUCACCUCCUGAAUGAUAACUUUUAUAGUCACUCUAUUUGGGGACACUUACUGUGUGCCAGACACCAUGCUAUGCAUUGCAUGUUAUUUUAUCCUUAUAACAACUGAAUGAGCAAAUAUUAUUAUGCCCACUUUUAAAAUAAAAUGAUGGCACUGAGACUCAGACACUUUGACAUCAGAAGUCGCCAGCUCCGAGGCAUGGGGGCUGGCAGCAAAGUCUAGGUGCCCUAGCUUGAAACCCAUGCUCUUAACUACUCUGCCCUGAGGAGGGUUUAGAGUGGGUAGGUGGAAGUGGAAGUGAGGGAGAGAAGGAGAGAGACAAGGGGACAAGGGGACAGGUGUGAAAGACAUUAUAAAAGAGGAAUGGAGAAGACUGGGAACAGGCUAGAUUUGAGAGGGAAGCAGGAGUUGGCAGGGUUCUCUCUGAGCUUCUGGGCUUUUGCGACUGGAGACAAUGAUAACUUUGACAGCAGGAAGUGCAGAGAGAGAGCAUGAAGGGACUAGAGGAAAGGGCAGGGGGAGCUCAGACAUGCCCAGCUUGGGCCUCUUCUUCUCAGGAGCAAUAGCCAGAGAGACCACGGUGCCAGCAAUCCAUGAACCCACCGGCACAGAUG